rnacentral:lncRNA from 1 species
CACUGACAUCACACCAUGGCAACCAUUGGAUGAAGACCUCGUCUCCAGAGGACUCCUGUUAACACCAGACGUAUAAUGGGAGUGACACAGUGAUCUGCUGGCACUCUUGAAGACAUCAGCUUGGUCAAGAAUGUUGGCAGAGGCGCCUCAAGAAACACCUGCCUUCCACUCAUGAGCUGAAAUGUCAUUGCUGAAAGCGAGGCAGAUGAGUGGAAGUGGAAAGACCUGGGGCUGUGGGCGUCCUCGUGACCAGCCUGGCAAGGCCCACGCCUGCCCCAUGGAGACUCUGGGGCAGCCUUUGCAGAAGCAAACACUAUCAUCAGGUUUGCAUGAGUUCUGCUCCCUUGUUUUCUCUGCCUCUCGACUACCCACUUUAUUUCAGCCCUGCGGUGAAUUAUAUGUUUGGAGCAGAAGUAGGGGAGAACUCAGCCCCUUAGGAGUCAUGAGACUGUAAGAGGAUGCAUACUGCAGGGUACUUUUUCAGCUGAGAAACAGAAAACAUGGUCUGCUUUUUAAAUCUUACAAACAUACAGGUAAAGUCAACACGUACUUGUUGAUGUGGGGCUUUUGUAACCCAGCAACGUGUAGCAGCAAUCUGCCAGGAUACGCUGAAGCCCCAAUCCUGGGGAGCCACGCGCCAGCCAAGCGAAGAGCGGCUCCCUCUCCACGUCUCGACGUUAAUUCCUCCUUGGUGACACCUGCUUGGUAGAGUAAGGAAAAGGCCUGGAUUUUGCUAAUUUUAUUGUUUCUUAGUUACUAAACAGAAUGAGAUGUAGUCUCUGAAUAAGGGCCUGCCCCGGCUUUGCAGGAACUACAUGUGAAACCCAGGGCCCUGUGCUAAAAAAUGUCCAGCUUGUUUCUCAUCAAGUCACCUUACCUAUCUCAGCACCUGCACAGGCAACGGGACUGCCUGGACAUGCCCACCACUGUUAGGUCAGGUGUCCCUGAAAAGCUCCAUCAAAACACUUUGAAAGAGUGAACACAGCUUCCAAAACUCACACGCCGUUAUGAGCCAUGAGAGAAACUGCUUCCGUUUGACUAACGAGCAACGGCCCGUGCUCUUUUUGUUCCCAUUGCCAACAUUUGCCCCACCUGAGUGAAGGAGAUGCACAAGGCUGAGAGUGAGCGUCACGUGAGACAAUGCACGUUCAAGCACGUUGCAUGAUGCCUGGCACACAGAGGACUGUCAAAACCGUAAGCUAUCCUGAUGGGGAGCCCGCCUCGCAGGCCCCCUUCCAGUGCAGCAGGAGGAGCUGGAAGAGCACCAAUGCCCAGUCUCUGAGGAAGUGACGUCAGGCUGCAGCUUUGAGUCUUGAUCUGAAUCACAACCUCCCCAGGAACGAGGAGGCUGGAGAGUGAUUCCACCGCUACUUUCAGCCUCCCCUGGGUUGCAGCCAAAUAUGCUGAGAGGCUUAAAAUUCCAAACUGAUUUCUUCUCUCAGUGGUUUGCAAAAGCUGUGAGUUUGAAAAGAAACAAACUCAGACUUUGAGAGUGAGAGGGGGUAUUGGGCCAUGGGAGGUUGGUGGAAGUUUCUCCACAAAGCCUCAGGUGGCACAGGUUGUGUCCAGGCUUUACUGCUGCACUGAGGGGACAGCAAGACUGCCCUAGCCAGAAGCCAAACUAAUCUUUGUUUCCUUCCUUGGGAUCCCAGGGACUAGAAAAAGCUGCUCUUCCAUGGAAGGGAAGGAGGUAGUCCCAGGAAACCUAUCCCUGAGGCCCAUGAGGCUGAUGGGACCACGCUGUGCCCCGGACUGGACAAGAGGUGUCCAGGGCUCUGGGCAUGGCCAGGCGUUCAGGCAAUUGCAUCUUUGGCCCAGGGAAGGCCCUUCGUCUCAUUCCCCAGAGGUACUUCUCCUCACCUAGAAAGCAAGGUGGCAUGACCAGCACUGAUACGCCUCCCAGUGUUGGAAGGACAAGACUUGAGUUACAAACGCCACCACAGCGGUCUUAACAUCUGGCUUCCAAGGGGUCAAACAAUGCAGCCCAAAGUAUGAAAGAACUCUGAACAGUGCAGGGAGAGUAGGAGGCCAAAUGGGACCUCCUGCUGGGCAACCAGCUGUCUUCUUGAAACUCCUCCUGAAGCUGCAGCCAGCAGAGCAGCACAUCUCUGCGUGUGAGGACACCUCCCUCUCCACCUCCCUUUCCUUCUCUCUCACUCUCACUGCCUCGAAUUUGUACCUCCCGAAUAAAACAUCGGCAC